rnacentral:lncRNA from 1 species
GAAGAUGCUGCACUUCCUCCUCUGCGUCCAGGAAAAAAUAUUGGUUACUGAUGAGGGAGAAAUUCUAAUUAUCUGCUUUUUCUGGCUCCUGUUCUUUCUUGAGGUUUUCUUGGCAAUGAUAAUGUCUUUAUUAAUUAAUUAACAAUUCUUUUGCAGGCAUGACAAAAUGCAUCAAGCAGAGUAGCAGAUGAGCGUUUUGCAUGAGCAUGAAGUCAUUGUACCAUAAUUGUUUGUUUGGUGGUGACUAGCAGCCUAAAUUUUGUAAGUUGGGUCUUUGUUGGUCUGUUUUGUUAGUUCCAAUUUGGACAUUCAGGCUGCUAAAGUUUCACAUAUUUGAAAUAUGUAGGA